ACAUGUCGUCCGUCGAGAACAGGAAGACAUGCCCUUAAUCGACAAGCCCCACCCCCUGAAGGGCUGAACGCAAGGCUUCGAAUAAAAAGUUUGAAGGCUAAAGCUUGUCCGACAAAAAGCAAAUCCUCCCCUGCAAAUCUUUGUUCUCCUCCUUGCUUUCUCGCUCGCUACCCCUUGAAUUCUCCCUCCCCGCCGCUACAGGAUUUCUAAAAGAGGUGGGAAACCUUGAGUAGGUUUUCCAUUCGGAGGUACUUUCCAUCUUUAUCUUCCCAACUCUCUUUGGAAGAUGCCCUUCUGAUUCGCGUAGAAGCAAUCUAGAAGGCGGAGGAGUCAUGUUGGAAGAUUAAGGGCUUUUUUUGCAGCUUUGUGAGAGAAAGUGUGGCGGUUCUCAACGCAGCUCAUUCUCCAUUGCUGAGGUUGAACAAGAGGGUUUUGAAGCUCUGAUGCUGAUGAGGGUGACGUUUUGGCCCUUUUCAUCCUUGUUUUCUUGUUUAGGGUAUAAAGUUCCUCAGAGAAUCUAAGGAAAUUAGUUCAACUAAGGUAGCAAAUUGUAGUGCCAUAUACAUAUAGAUGGGAUUCCUGUAACCUUUUAUCCUCGGUCUCCCUUAGUAGAAGCCAUGGAUUAUUAGGAUAACAUAGAGAAAGGGGGAGAUGUUAACCCUAGAAAUACCGAGGAGAAUGGGGUUAUUUGUGAAGUAACAAUUUCUACACAUAAGAUUUGAUUUGGCACCUCAACUAGACGAGCUUUGUCAAUCUUUUUCAAACAAACCACCAUGAGGAACAAUCGAACAACCCAUUUCAAUUUCACUCAAGAAGAAUCAUGAGAGAGAGAUAAAGGAGGCGGGGACCGAUUGGUAAGGCGUACCAGGUGUGGGAGAGCUCAUACAACUUGCCUCGAGGGAAGAAGAUGAUGAGGGCAACCAGAGCUCUAAGGCCUUCUUGAGGAGUCCAUUCCGGUGCUUGGAGAAGGUCAUCUGCCUACUUGUGGCAUUCUCGAUGCGCUUCAUCUAGGUCUUCUGCGAGCCACAAUUAAUAAACUGAAGCAAGAAAGAAGUGUCAAUACCAAGUUGAUCUUAAUCCGUGGAGGUCAGGAUGAUGUUUCUCUAUUUGAACAUUUUCUUAUCGAGGAGCAAGAUGCUGAUGGGGAGUCGACUCAUAAGUACAUUGGGUUUUGUUCCUUCAUUGAUUUGUUCCUUCAUUGAGGGGAUCACUCGGCAUGUUCUAGAAUUCAUGAAGCAAUUGCAGCAAACCUAUUUUGCGAUCUGCUAGUUGAUCUCCAGUUCGAUCCCUUUGUUCACUCCCGACACCACUGCCACCGUCUCCCCACUCCAUCAUUCUGAUCCCUUUGCUUCCUACAGUGGCGUAAAAGGAAUCAUGGAAGUAUAAACGAUCAGAACUCUUCUCCUCUUGGUGCUAGCUGAUUCAUUUGACAGAUGUUCUUUGGAGAUCAAGACACAAUAUAAAUGCUUUAAGAGAUCAGCCUAUUCUUUAGCUAGCCAAAGAGAUUAAUAAUGUUCAAGAGAAAAUGAUUUAAAUCUUA